UACGUAGGGGGCAAGCGUUGUCCGGAUUUACUGGGCGUAAAGGGCAUGCAGGCGGUCCGACACGUUUUGUGUGACAGCGGGUGGCUUAACUACCCGAGGAUACGAAAGACGGUUGGACUUGAGGACUCGAGAGGGACACGGAAUUCCGGGUGGAGUGGUGAAAUGCGUAGAGAUCCGGAGGAACACCGAAGGCGAAGGCAGUGUCCUGGCGAGUGACUGACGCUGAGGUGCGAAAGCCAGGGGAGCGAACGGG
rnacentral:rRNA from 1 species